GGACUAUGUAAACAAACUGUGGGUUAUGGGUUGUUUACUGUAAACCCUGUCAAGUUAAAGGACACACCGAGUGAUGCUGAACGUCUUCAUGCACUGCAGGAGGACAACGCUGAUCUUCACCAGAAUUUGCUGCAGACAGUGGUUUGCAUUGAGAGUCUAGAGGCGGAGCUGCAGAGAACCAGGGACGAGCUCAGUCACGUCAAGGAGAAGUAUAACAGCCUCCUGGAGAGCCACACUGGGACCAAGCAGGCCAAUAACCUGCUGGGGGAGCAACUGCACGUAGCGUCGGAGAGUCUGAGCAGCGAACGAAAGCACCUAUUAAAGCAAGUGUCGCAGCUGAGCUCCGAGCUGGAGGACGCCCACAGAACCAUCGCAGCCCUGGAGAACAUCAACGUGCCGUGCUUGAUUAAGGGGUUACUGGAGAAGCACUUUGACUCAGCUGAGGCCGUACAGAGGUUUCUGUCUGGCUCUGCUCCAAAAAGCUAUUCUGCUACCUCUCCACAAGCAGACGGCCGAUCACACCCUCCUGAAGUUGGGAGGGAAGCACACGGCUGGCUGGCAAAGUCAGAGGCAGGUCUGCAGAGGGCCACGGCCUUCGUGCCCUUUAAGCAGGGGCCGCCAGCACCAGGAAGCGAGCCCUGCCUCGCGGAGCAGCGCGAGUCCUGCUACAGCCCCCCGUUCUCCGUGGCUGACAUCAGCAGCGCUAUCUGUAACAACAUGGCCGACACGGCACAUCCUGCGUGUCCCCGGAGCCGGCAGCAGCCGCCCCCGUGCGCGGACCACGCCGAGCCCCCGCUGGAGCGCCGGCAGGGUGACAGCUGGGGCGGGACGGGAGGGGUCAUGGUGUCGCUUCUGGAGCAGGAUGUUGUGGAUGUGACCGCCAUGUCAGCGCAGAAAAUCCUGGAUGAGUUCAUGCAGCAACUGCAAGCCCAUAAGGAGGUGGGCGGAGGGAAGGCGCAGCAGGGCCGGCAGGGGCUGGUGAGAGGAGCAGAACAGGCAGGAAAGGUGGCACAGUGAAAGUAGCAGCCAAGAACAUGGGCAUUCUCGUUUUGUUGGUGGAUUUGUUCACACAUGUAAGCUUAUUUUUUGCCUUUAGUUCAGUAUUUCUUUCACCCCAAACUAGAAUAAUAAGUAAAAAAAAUAGUAGAACCAUCAUUAAAGGAGAAGCCUUUAAACUUCUGCAUUAAUAGUUAACAAACCAAAUGUAAAAGCAGUGUAUUAACAACAAAAUAAAAAUGGAACAUGCAUCA
rnacentral:lncRNA from 1 species